CACACGUCGGCCACUCCACCUCGGGCGCUCUGAAGCCGGCCGCAUGGAGACUGGGGGACGGUGAUGGCCAAGGGACAGAGGAAAAAUGGCAGGGCAAACCCCCUUGGAUUUGCCCACGUGGAGUUUGGAUAUUUACCUGACUUCUUUGUCAAGUCUUGGGCCUGAUGCAGGUAAGCAUGGUGGGGCCCUUGGAGAUCUGUCGGAGCAGUUGCAAGAGGCCACUGUAGACCAGCAAUCGCCACCGCUGCAGCAUUGGUGCCAGGCAAGAAAUCCCAUCAUGCUCUACACCAAGGCUGAGGAGGGAUAGAGCUGAACCGACUGGCAGCCCUCUGUCCUUCCAUGAGAGGAGACUCCAUGGGAGACAAUGGUACAUUUCCGUGGGACCACUAGCACCCUCAUGACUUGCUUCCUCUUAACACUUACUUUUUAAAAAGGUUACAGAAGUAUGGCCACUGGUUCAUGUAUUCAACAGUUCAGGGGAGCUGUCACCACCGAAGGAAGGAGGAUAGUACUGACAGGGCUGAUGGUAAUGAUGACAUCUAAUGUACAUGGAGCAGCUCCAUCUGCCAGACACUACCUCACACUUCAAGUGCAUCCUCCCAGAAGACUGAGUACUGGGAGAUUCCGAGAGCCAAAUCAAAAGCUGCCUCCCACGUGGUGCUUAAGGGAGCCCUGAAGAAGAGCAAAGGAACUGUGAUUCCCUAAGCUCAGGGAGUGGUCAAUAAGUCUCCUCUUUGCUGGCCCGCUGGCAUGGGCUUGUAAUCUCAGCUACUUAUGAGUUGAGGCAGAAGGAUAAGAAGUUCAAGGCCAGUCUUGUCAACUUAGCAAAACUGUCUCAAAUUUUUGAAAAAGCGAAGCAGAGUUGGGAAUGUCAGGUAAGGAUAGAAUGCUUACCCAGCAUGCACCAGGUCACAGAUUCAGUCCCUAGAACUGACAAGAAAAGUGAUCCCCUCUUUAAAAGGAACUAUUUUCUGACUACCCUGGAAAUGGAUGGUUCUAGAAGAGUUAGAUACUCACCCUGAAAUUUGUGGGAAAUCUCAGAUUUGGAGUCUUUGUAGUUAACCACGUCAGGUAUAGUGUCCCCAACUGUGAUGGCAGAUGGGGACCUCACACUGCCCCCAACCUCAUGUUCUUUCUCCCUUAGGAAAUUUUUGGGGUCUAAAACUGCAUCAGGUAUGAGAGAUAACUCCCCUCUCUCUCCUCCUUUGAGACCAGGCUUGGUACCAUUGUGUGCAGACUUGAGGCAGGGUGCUUAAAGUCCUCCCUCCCUCAUCUCUCCUCGUCUAACCUAAGGGAUAAAGAGCUUGCUUUCAAAUGUUAUUCACGCUGGGACAAUGGGCAAGAGAACACUAAUGUUUUGGGACACAUGAAAUAAAAGGUAAUUUAUAUUUUA
ensembl:processed_transcript BC006965 cDNA sequence BC006965